GGAGAGUUGGCCGAGUGGCUGAAGGCGCACGCUUGGAAAGCGUGUAUACGGCUUAUACCCGUAUCGGGGGUUCGAAUCCCCCACUCUCCGCCA
rnacentral:tRNA from 1 species